ACGAGCUCGAUGGAAAUACUUUAACUUCGGUUGAAAUUGUUAUACGUUUGAAGAAAUUAAGACAGAAAGAAACGUAUACGCCGGCUUGUCAGAGUUAAUCGAUAUAAAGCUACAAGUACAAACAGAUGUUUGUAUACUGUGUUUUGUAGUAGUUUUAUGGAAUGGGUAGCUGGUAGCUGCUUGGAUGUGAGAUUGAGGAGAUGAAUGUAACUACAGUUCUUGUAACUAGCGAUAUUUUAUAACUUAAACUUGUAAUAAAUUAGGAAAUGGUAUAUAUUGAUUUAAAUAGCAUGUGAUUUGAGGUAUUCCCCGUAAAGAUGGCAAGUAGCCAAAGUCAUUUACUGGGGCUUGAAGGAAGGACGGUGCUACUAAUUUUGUGUGAACACCCGUUAGGAUUUAUUUGAUCUAUCAUUUUCUGUACUUCGUGGGCUACUGAAAGACGUAACAUACUACAAGAACAAAAUGAGUCAGGGAGCAGGAGAUGCCGUUCCUCGCAUCUUAUUAAAAGAGGUUCCGAAAGGUGCAAAGAUAAUUGAUAUAUAUUGGGGACUUCAGAAAUUCGGUAUUAUUACGUACAUUGGACUUGGCAAUGACAAUGCUGUAAUAGAGUUUGCAGACAGGAUCUCAGUUGGUAAAGUAUUGUCGAGCCACCCAGUUCGAGUGAAAACGAAUACAGUGCGUGCUUCACAUGAGCCCGAAUGGAAGUCCAUUUCGGGACUGGUCAACAUGCACGAGACAUUUACACUAGAUCCAGACAUAAAGGCAGUCUUGAAGAAUGAGGACUCUUUUAACCAGAAAAUUGCCGAUCUGGUUAGUACGGCCGAUAAAUUGACUUUGGACUUUGAUGAUGGCAUCGAUGAUGGUGCCGGCAGUCGGGAACGUCAUCCGGUGUGUGCCGUGCUAGAGAGGAUACUUCCUGACGAGUUAGUUCCCAACGUGAGAGUGUACCCAUUUGGCUCUCGUGUCUCUGGUACUGCUCUGGAGACAAGUGACCUCGACAUCUUCAUAGACUGUGGUGACACGUUCUACGGCGAGUAUGUCCCGAACGUGGAGGAACUGGUAUCCAUUGUGCAGACCGUGAAACGACAGCUAGCUAAGGCAUGGCCCGAGUUCAACCACGUGACGGCCAUUCCCAGGGCACGUGUGCCCAUCGUCAAGUUCCUCCACUGUCCCAGCAACACGCGCUGUGACGCAGCCUUCACGAAUGGCAUCGGUUGCCGCAAUGCUCGGCUGUUGAGAUUUGUGAUGUCUCUGGACAACCGCAUCCGGCCCCUCCUGUUGUUCCUCAAGCGCUGGGUUUACAGCAUAGACUUGACGCCAGUAGCCAGGAACUCGCCGAGACCGGAGCUGACGUCCCAUGCUCUCGCUAUGGUCACCUUCACCUUCCUACAGACGGUGAAGCCUCCCAUCCUGCCUCCCAUAAAGGGUAUAAAGGAAGCUGCGGACUACAGCAUCAAGGUUGCAGGUUGGGAAACCGCAUUUUGCAACAACAGAGAACAGUUCCGCAUCACAGAUCCCCACGACAGGCGGUCUGUCCGUGAACUGCUGCUGGGCUUCCUGCAGUGCUUCCAGCGGAUCGACUGGCAGAAGAUGGCAGCAUCUCCGCUGGAUGGAGCGUUCGUGUCACGCCAGUCGGUGCCGCGCAUCGUGCCUACGAAAUCUGCGGCGAUGGUGGUUCUCGACCCGUUCAACCUGAGUCGAAACCUGACCGUGAACGUCAGUGACGUGGCACUGUGUCGACUCUGCGCGACCAGUGCGUUGACAGUGAGGGAGAUGACUUCUCGCUGAUGGCAAAUGUGCAGUCCGUAGCAGAACAUCUGGGAGUCACAGAAGUUGAAGAGGUGCACCUAGAGGAAUACAAGUGCAGCACCAGUGACUUCCAAUUUUGUUUUUUGGUCAAGCCGAGCACCAAAGCAUCUUGUGACUGUGUGAU